rnacentral:rRNA from 1 species
CCUACGUGGUGCAGCAGUGGGGAAUAUUGCGCAAUGGGCGAAAGCCUGACGCAGCGACGCCGCGUGAGGGAUGAAGGUCUUCGGAUCGUAAACCUCUGUCAGCAGGGAAGAACGGUCACUGUGCUAAUCAGCAGUGAAUUGACGGUACCUGCAAAGGAAGCACCGGCUAACUCCGUACCAGCAGCCGCGGUAAUACGGAGGGUGCGAGCGUUAAUCGGAAUUACUGGGCGUAAAGCGCUCGUAGGCGGUAUGUCAAGUCAAGGGUGAAAUCCCCGCGCUCAACGUGGGAACUGCCUUUGAAACUGGCAAACUGGAGUGUGUGAGAGGAUAGUGGAAUUCCAGGUGUAGGAGUGAAAUCCGUAGAUAUCUGGAGGAACAUCAGUGGCGAAGGCGACUAUCUGGCACAUAACUGACGCUGAGGAGCGAAAGCGUGGGUAGCAAACAGGAUUAGAUACCCCGGUAGUC